rnacentral:rRNA from 1 species
GUUUUGGGGUGGGGUGACUGCGUACCUUUUGUAUAAUGGGUCAGCGACUUAUAUUCUGUAGCAAGGUUAACCGAAUAGGGGAGCCGGAGGGAAACCGAGUCUUAAUUGGGCGUUAAGUUGCAGGGUAUAGACCCGAAACCCGGUGAUCUAGCCAUGGGCAGGUUGAAGGUUGGGUAACACUAACUGGAGGACCGAACCGACUAAUGUUGAAAAAUUAGCGGAUGACCUGUGGCUGGGGGUGAAAGGCCAAUCAAACCGGGAGAUAGCUGGUUCUCCCCGAAAGCUAUUUAGGUAGCGCCUCGUGAAUUCAUCUCCGGGGGUAGAGCACUGUUUCGGCCAGGGGGCCAUCCCGGCUUACCAACCCGAUGCAAACUGCGAAUACCGGAGAAUGUUAUCACGGGAGACACACGGCGGGUGCUAACGUCCGUCGUGAAGAGGGAAACAACCCAGACCGCCAGCUAAGGUCCCAAAGUCAUGGUUAAGUGGGAAACGAUGUGGGAAGGCCCAGACAGCCAGGAUGUUGGCUUAGAAGCAGCCAUCAUUUAAAGAAAGCGUAAUAGCUCACUGGUCGAGUCGGCCUGCGCGGAAGAUGUAACGGGGCUAAACCAUGCACCGAAGCUGCGGCAGCGAACGUAUCACUUAAAGCGAUUCAGCGGAUGACGAUUGACGGAGCGAAGCGACGUCAAAGCGUUUUACAACGUCGAGUCGGUUUAAGGAUACGUUCGUUGGGUAGGGGAGCGUUCUGUAAGCCUGCGAAGGUGGCCUGUGAGGGUUGCUGGAGGUAUCAGAAGUGCGAAUGCUGACAUAAGUAACGAUAAUGCGGGUGAAAAACCCGCACGCCGGAAGACCAAGGGUUCCUGUCCAACGUUAAUCGGGGCAGGGUGAGUCGACCCCUAAGGCGAGGCCGAAAGGCGUAGUCGAUGGGAAACAGGUUAAUAUUCCUGUACCUGGUGUUACUGCGAAGGGGGGACGGAGAAGGCUAUGUUGGCCGGGCGACGGUUGUCCCGGUUUAAGCGUGUAGGCUGGUUUUCCAGGCAAAUCCGGAAAAUCAAGGCUGAGGCGUGACGACGAGGCACUACGGUGCUGAAGCAACAAAUGCCCUGCUUCCAGGAAAAGCCUCUAAGCCUCAGGUAACAUCAGAUCGUACCCGAAACCGACACAGGUGGUCAGGUAGAGAAUACCAAGGCGCUUGAGAGAACCCGGGUGAAGGAACUAGGCAAAAUGGUGCCGUAACUUCGGGAGAAGGCACGCUGACACGUAGGUGAAGUGAUUUACUCAUGGAGCUGAAGUCAGUCGAAGAUACCAGCUGGCUGCAACUGUUUAUUAAAAACACAGCACUGUGCAAACACGAAAGUGGACGUAUACGGUGUGACGCCUGCCCGGUGCCGGAAGGUUAAUUGAUGGGGUCAGCGCAAGCGAAGCUCCUGAUCGAAGCCCCGGUAAACGGCGGCCGUAACUAUAACGGUCCUAAGGUAGCGAAAUUCCUUGUCGGGUAAGUUCCGACCUGCACGAAUGGCGUAAUGAUGGCCAGGCUGUCUCCACCCGGGACUCAGUGAAAUUGAACUCGCUGUGAAGAUGCAGUGUACCCGCGGCAAGACGGAAAGACCCCGUGAACCUUUACUAUAGCUUGACACUGAACACUGGUCCUUGAUGUGCAGGAUAGGUGGGAGGCUUUGAAGUGUGGACGCCAGUCUGCAUGGAGCCGUCCUUGAAAUACCACCCUUUAAUGGCUGGUGUUCUAACGUAGACCCGUGAACCGGGUUGCGGACAGUGUCUGGUGGGUAGUUUGACUGGGGCGGUCUCCUCCUAAAGCGUAACGGAGGAGCACGAAGGUUGGCUAAUCCUGGUCGGACAUCAGGAGGUUAGUGCAAUGGCAUAAGCCAGCUUGACUGCGAGCGUGACGGCGCGAGCAGGUGCGAAAGCAGGUCAUAGUGAUCCGGUGGUUCUGAAUGGAAGGGCCAUCGCUCAACGGAUAAAAGGUACUCCGGGGAUAACAGGCUGAUACCGCCCAAGAGUUCAUAUCGACGGCGGUGUUUGGCACCUCGAUGUCGGCUCAUCACAUCCUGGGGCUGAAGUAGGUCCCAAGGGUAUGGCUGUUCGCCAUUUAAAGUGGUACGCGAGCUGGGUUUAGAACGUCGUGAGACAGUUCGGUCCCUAUCUGCCGUGGGCGCUGGAGAACUGAGGGGGGCUGCUCCUAGUACGAGAGGACCGGAGUGGACGCAUCACUGGUGUUCGGGUUGUCAUGCCAAUGGCACUGCCCGGUAGCUAAAUGCGGAAGAGAUAAGUGCUGAAAGCAUCUAAGCACGAAACUUGCCCCGAG